GACGAACGCUGGCGGCGUGCUUAACACAUGCAAGUCGAACGGAAAGGCCCUGCUUUUGUGGGGUGCUCGAGUGGCGAACGGGUGAGUAACACGUGAGUAACCUGCCCUUGACUUUGGGAUAACUUCAGGAAACUGGGGCUAAUACCGGAUAGGAGCUCCUGCUGCAUGGUGGGGGUUGGAAAGUUUCGGCGGUUGGGGAUGGACUCGCGGCUUAUCAGCUUGUUGGGGGGGUAGUGGCUUACCAAGGCUUUGACGGGUAGCCGGCCUGAGAGGGUGACCGGCCACAUUGGGACUGAGAUACGGCCCAGACUCCUACGGGAGGCAGCGGUGGGGAAUAUUGCACAGUGGGCGGAAGCCUGAUGCAGCAACGCCGCGUGCGGGAUGACGGCCUUCGGGUUGUAAACCGCUUUCGCCUGUGACGAAGCGUGAGUGACGGUAAUGGGUAAAGAAGCACCGGCUAACUACGUG
rnacentral:rRNA from 1 species